AGCGAACGCUGGCGGCAGGCUUAACACAUGCAAGUCGAGCGGGCGUAGCAAUACGUCAGCGGCAGACGGGUGAGUAACGCGUGGGAACGUACCUUUUGGUUCGGAACAACACAGGGAAACUUGUGCUAAUACCGGAUAAGCCCUUACGGGGAAAGAUUUAUCGCCGAAAGAUCGGCCCGCAUCUGAUUAGCUAGUUGGUGAGGUAACGGCUCACCAAGGCGACGAUCAGUAGCUGGUCUGAGAGGAUGAUCAGCCACAUUGGGACUGAGACACGGCCCAAACUCCUACGGGAGGCAGCAGUGGGGAAUAUUGGACAAUGGGCGCGAGCCUGAUCCAGCCAUGCCGCGUGUGUGAUGAAGGCCUUAGGGUUGUAAAGCACUUUUGUCCGGGAAGAUAAUGACUGUACCGGAAGAAUAAGCCCCGGCUAACUUCGUGCCAGCCGCCGCAGUAAAAC
rnacentral:rRNA from 1 species